ensembl:miRNA
AACAUGGAGGUCUCUGUCUGACUUAGGACAGCCUGGCUAAGUCUGAUCGUUCCCCUCCAUACAAC